rnacentral:rRNA from 1 species
AUGGCUGACAUGCGCGGCAUGGCCGAAACCGACGAGAGAAGAGAGAGAUGGAGAGAAAAGAGAGGACGGGAAGGAGACGAGACGCCAGAGGAGAGAGAAGGGGGUGGUGGUCACUUCAACGGGCUGCAGCGCGGCGCCGCCCCGGCCGCUGAGCCUGCCCGACCGCCCCGUCGCCAAGUCGCCACCCCACUGACUGCCCUGGGCUCGCCCUUUAAACCAAUUCAGAGCCAGCGAUUGUUGCCCACAUCGCCGAACCUGGCUCCCCUUCUCCACCCCAGCAAGCACGCGCGCUUGAAGGCGCCCAGGAGCUCGCCGGCAACACUCAGCAGACGCAGGAGAGCUGCGUGCCUGGUGCGUGUGAAUGUGUGGACGCGAGGCAUUGGAGGCCUCAGCAAGUUAACAAAUUAUAUUGCCCUGUACUACUUUUUAACAAAUUGGCUCCUACAAAGACUAAUGGAAGGAUCAUCAGACCAACGUAGUCAAAUUGUCUGCUUCAAAUUUUCGGUUUUGGAGCUGAUCAGUAGCACGCUGACAUGCAUCAGGAAGCCGACGGACAGCCAUAGUAGGAAGGCGUGGAUCUUGAGCUGCAGCGACAACGACAACUUGGGCGUUACCUGCAAAAAUACAACAGUUCAAGGGUUUAACCAAGUGUAA